rnacentral:rRNA from 1 species
CACGUAGGGCGCGAGCGUUGUCCGGAAUUAUCGGGCGUAAAGAGCUCGUAGGCGGCCUGUUGCGUCCGCUGUGAAAGCCCGGGGCUUAACCCCGGGUCGGCAGUGGAUACGGGCAGGCUAGAGGUAGGUAGGGGAGAAUGGAAUUCCCGGUGUAGCGGUGAAAUGCGCAGAUAUCGGGAGGAACACCGGUGGCGAAGGCGGUUCUCUGGGCCUUACCUGACGCUGAGGAACGAAAGCCAGGGGAGCGAACGGG